rnacentral:rRNA from 1 species
GAGGAGCGGCGAACGGGUGAGUAACGCGUAGGAAUCUGCCUGAUAGUGGGGGACAACGUCUCGAAAGGGACGCUAAUACCGCAUACGCCCUACGGGGGAAAGGGGGGGAUCUUCGGACCUCUCGCUAUCAGAUGAGCCUGCGUCGGAUUAGCUAGUUGGUGAGGUAAAGGCUCACCAAGGCGACGAUCCGUAGCUGGUCUGAGAGGAUGAUCAGCCACACCGGAACUGAGACACGGUCCGGACUCCUACGGGAGGCAGCAGUGGGGAAUAUUGGACAAUGGGGGCAACCCUGAUCCAGCCAUGCCGCGUGUGUGAAGAAGGCCUUCGGGUUGUAAAGCACUUUAAGGGGGGAGGAAGGUUCGCUGGUGAAUAUCCAGCGGAAUUGACGUUACCCCCAGAAUAAGCACCGGCUAACUUCGUGCCAGCAGCCGCGGUAAUACGAGGGGUGCAAGCGUUAAUCGGAAUUACUGGGCGUAAAGCGCGCGUAGGCGGCUGAGUAAGUCGAUUGUGAAAGCCCCGGGCUCAACCUGGGAAUUGCAGUCGAGACUGUUCGGCUAGAGUGUGGGAGAGGGUGGUGGAAUUCCCGGUGUA